GGAAUUGUUCGCAAUGGGCGCAAGCCUGACGACGCAACGCCGCGUGGAGGACGAAGAUCUUCGGGUCGUAAACCCCUGUCGAGUGGGAAGAACGCUUCGGGGGCGAAUAUCCCCCGGAAUUGACGGUACCAUUACAGGAAGCCCCGGCUACCUCCGUGCCAGCAGCCGCGGUAAUACGGGGGGGGCAAGCGUUGUUCGGAAUUACUGGGCGUAAAGGGCUCGUAGGCGGCCAACUAAGUCGGAUGUGAAAUCCCCAGGCUCAACCUGGGAACUGCAUCCGAUACUGGAUGGCUUGAAUCCGGGAGAGGGAUGCAGAAUUCCAGGUGUAGCGGUGAAAUGCGUAGAUAUCUGGAGGAAUACCGGUGGCGAAGGCGGCAUCCUGGACCGGCAUUGACGCUGAGGAGCGAAAGCCAGGGGAGCAAA
rnacentral:rRNA from 1 species